rnacentral:rRNA from 1 species
AGUGAACGCUGGCGGUAGGCCUAACACAUGCAAGUCGAACGGCAGCACAGUAAGAGCUUGCUCUUACGGGUGGCGAGUGGCGGACGGGUGAGGAAUACAUCGGAAUCUACUUUUUCGUGGGGGAUAACGUAGGGAAACUUACGCUAAUACCGCAUACGACCUACGGGUGAAAGCAGGGGAUCUUCGGACCUUGCGCGAUUGAAUGAGCCGAUGUCGGAUUAGCUAGUUGGCGGGGUAAAGGCACACCAAGGCGACGAUCCGUAGCUGGUCUGAGAGGAUGAUCAGCCACACUGGAACUGAGACACGGUCCAGACUCCUACGGGAGGCAGCAGUGGGGAAUAUUGGACAAAGGGCGCAAGCCUGAUCCAGCCAUACCGCGUGGGUGAAGAAGGCCUUCGGGUUGUAAAGCCCUUUUGUUGGGAAAGAAAAGCAGCAGGUUAAUACCCCGCUGUUCUGACGGUACCCAAAGAAUAAGCACCGGCUAACUUCGUG